ensembl:lncRNA
AUUCUAUGAAGCCUGUGACUGACAGUGGAAAAACACCGUUCAAGCAGAGCAGCACCUGCCUUCAUCUUUGCCCUGGUACAAACUGUUAACGCCAGUUUGGGAGCAGGAGGAUGCCGCUCGAAGGUCAAACCUGUGAAAGCGAAGCCUGCUUGCGACACCAAGAGCUCUGCGUGAACUUGGCUUUAACUUCAGAAGCAGGGGAGCUGCGCGGGGAGGGCGGCCAGAGGAGAUAGCRCAGCACCCGCUGAAACACUUCCAUUCGCUUUCUGCGCCCCUGCCACGAGGAACGACUGCCUUCUGUGCUGAUGACAGAUCUGCUGCUCUGUUAUCAGGCACUGCUCUUUUGCCAUCUCAGUUUCAAACAACUGCCUCUGCUUGAGAGCCGCAGAGCAGCCGUGUUGGACACACCAGGCCUCGGAGGAGGAGGAGGAGGAGGAGGAGGAUGGACGACACUGAGUGAUUUCCUUCGACACGGCUGGGGCUCUGAGGAAUAUCUGCUGAGGUCUCGGCGUGCCCAAGGACCUCCAGGGCUCCUUUGCAGCGCAGCCUCGGGUGCUGCACUGCAGCAAAUGAAACCAUCCGUGGGAGAGGGCUCCAAGGAGCACUCUGGRAAGGUUCUCUGGCAGUGCCGGCAGGCAUGUUUGACUCAACGGAGAAGAUCUCAUCCUGGGACCUGCUGGCUCUCUAUCCAAGUCUGUGGCUCUGUCUGCUGCACGCUGAUUGACCGAGAGACGACCAUGGCAUGUGUUAGCAGAUACUCUCCUAUGUUCCUGAGCUGA